AUUAUCUCUGUGUCUUUGACAAAAUGAAAUGUGUCAUUUUGGCGCUUCUGUAUCAAAAUAUAAACAAUUUUGGUUAAUUGAAUUUCUGUUGGUUAAUGUGAAACAAUAAUUAGAGUGUGACUUUGUGUGGUUAAAUAAGUAAAACUUUUUAAUAUUAUUUGACAGAAGGAGGACUUUUAUAAGGAGAAAUGAGAGCUGUGGAUCUAUCUGAUGCAGAGCUAAUGCAGGCGCUGCGCAAAAAUGACGUUAAUACCGGCCCCAUUGUUGACUCCACACGACAUCUGUAUCGAAGAAAGCUCUGCAGAGUCCUUGGCAUAGAGGAAGAUGAAGAUGUGGAUCCAAAUCUAUUUUUAAGUGAUCUGUCUGAACACGCUGAAGAACACCGAUUCGUGCCUGCACGUGAUCGAAUGGCUGUAGAACAUAAGACUGCUACUGGAGGACUUUUGAUGUUUUAUGGACUGUCUGCUCUCUCUGUUCUCUUUAUUUGUUGGUAUUACUUAAUGUAAAGUUUCUUUGUUUAAUACCAUUUAUAGUUUUUUGAUAAUUUUAUUUUCAUGGUAGAAUAAAGUCUUUUUGUCAAA